AGGGAUGUAGCUCAGUGGUUAGAACAUCUGCCUUGCAUGAGGAAGGUUCCCGGUUCUAUCCCUGGCAUCUCCA